rnacentral:lncRNA from 1 species
AUGGGAACGACCCUCCACCCUGUAUCCCCAAAUACCCAACACGAAGUGCCAGGUGAACAAUUCUCCAGGAGGACAGAAAUCCGGCAAUGUGGAUGUGAAGACGCAGGAUCCAGCCAGGGCAGGAGAGAAGGACCCGUGCCAGACAUGCCUGAUUCCACGCAUCAUCCCUUCUGUCUACCUUGUGGCGGGUUGGUCCCCCGGGACACAGACUCUGAGGUGAUUAGUGAGCAGAAAGUUUAUGAUGUGUCCUGGGGUGAAUGUCCGUGGGGUGUGGCGGUGAAGAGACAAGGGGGAGUGGACAGUGGGAGCAAUUGGCCAGCGGCGCAGCCUCAACUGGGCGGUCAGUCGGCCGACCUCACACGGAGCUCUGGAGCUGUGCUGGCCUCGGAGUUGUCCUUAGGUGGGAUGAGAAGGGUGGAGCUGGGGAGUAGGCCCUGCAGUCCCAGAGGAGAGUCGCGGCGGCACCACCCACGGUCCAAGUGGGACCAAUGUCUCUACCAAAGGCAACUUCCCUCUGAGUUCUAACACUGACAGGGAGAACGUGUCUGAGCCAAUUCAUUUUUCUCAGCCAGGCUACACGGAUCAAAGGCCACUGACCAGCUCAGGGACUGGCUGUGUUUAGGUGAGUCAAGCAACAUUCUCAAAGCUAGAAUUUCUUCCUCCAUGCCUCCCUUCCUUCCUUCCUUCUUCCUUCCUUCUGUCCUUCUCCCUCUCUGUCUCC